rnacentral:antisense_RNA from 1 species
UUGAGCAUGAGGAUUAUUUGCUAAAAUGCCGUUUCCUACAGCAUGCAACAGGUGCGUUUUGCCUAGACCUGUACCACCAUA